UACGGAGGAUCCGAGCGUUAUCCGGAUUUAUUGGGUUUAAAGGGUGCGUAGGUGGAAGAAUAAGUCAGUUGUGAAAGUUUGCGGCUCAACCGUAAAAUUGCAGUUGAAACUGUUUUUCUUGAGUAUAGAUGAGGUAGGCGGAAUUCGUGGUGUAGCGGUGAAAUGCUUAGAUAUCACGAAGAACUCCGAUUGCGUAGGCAGCUUACUAAGCUAUAACUGACACUGAGGCACGAAAGUGUGGGUAUCAAACAGG
rnacentral:rRNA from 1 species